rnacentral:rRNA from 1 species
GACGAACGCUGGCGGCGUGCUUAACACAUGCAAGUCGAACGGAAAGGCCCUUCGGGGUACUCGAGUGGCGAAAGUGUGAGUAACACGUGGGUGAUCUGCCCUGCACUUUGGGAUAAGCCUGGGAAACUGGGUCUAAUACCGAAUAUGAUCAUCGGCUUCAUGGUCGGUGGUGGAAAGCUUUUGCGGUGUGGGAUGGGCCCGCGGCCUAUCAGCUUGUUGGUGGGGUAAUGGCCUACCAAGGCGACGACGGGUAGCCGGCCUGAGAGGGUGACCGGCCACACUGGGACUGAGAUACGGCCCAGACUCCUACGGGAGGCAGAAGUGGGGAAUAUUGCACAAUGGGCGCAAGCCUGAUGCAGCGACGCCGCGUGAGGGAUGACGGCCUUCGGGUUGUAAACCUCUUUCAGCACAGACGAAGCGAAAGUGACGGUAUGUGCAGAAGAAGGACCGGCAAACUACGUG